rnacentral:tRNA from 1 species
CGCGGCGUAGCUCAACUGGAUAGAGCGUCCGCCAUCUGCGUAGUUGAAAGUGUGCGUGCUGCGCACCCGAUCCUACGCGGCGGAGAGAUGCGGGUUCAAGUCCCGCCGCCGUGC